rnacentral:rRNA from 1 species
UGGCAAGCGUUAUCCGGAAUUAUUGGGCGUAAAGCGUCCGCAGGCGGUUUUACAAGUCUGUCGUUAAAGCGUGGAGCUCAACUCCAUUUCAGCGAUGGAAACUGUAAGACUCGAGUGUGGUAGGGGCAGAGGGAAUUCCCGGUGUAGCGGUGAAAUGCGUAGAUAUCGGGAAGAACACCAGUGGCGAAAGCGCUCUGCUGGGCCAUAACUGACGCUCAUGGACGAAAGCCAGGGGAGCGAAAGGGAUUAGAUACCCCUGUAGUCCUGGCCGUAAACGAUGAACACUAGGUGUCGGGGGAAUCGACCCCUCCGGUGUCGUAGCCAACGCGUUAAGUGUUCCGCCUGGGGAGUACCGCCACCGCCAAGUGUGAAAACUCAAAAGGAAUUUGACGGGGGGCCCCGCACAAGCCGGUGGGAGUAUGUGGGUUUAAAUUCGAUGCAAACGCGAAAGAAACCUUACCAGGG